rnacentral:rRNA from 1 species
GUAUCCUGGCUCAGGAUGAACGCUAGCGACAGGCUUAACACAUGCAAGUCGAGGGGCAGGCAUGAUUUGUAGCAAUACAGAUUGAUGGCGACCGGCGCACGGGUGAGUAACGCGUAUGCAACUUACCUAUCAGAGGGGGAUAGCCCGGCGAAAGUCGGAUUAAUACCCCAUAAAACAGGGGUCCCGCAUGGGAAUAUUUGUUAAAGAUUUCAUCGCUGAUAGAUAGGCAGUGCGUU